UACGAAGGGGACUAGCGUUGUUCGGUAAUUACUGGGCGUAAAGCGCACGUAGGCGGAUUUGUAAGUCAGGGGUGAAAUCCCGGGGCUCAACCUCGGAACUGCCUUUGAUACUGCAAAUCUCGAGUCCGAUAGAGGUGGGUGGAAUUCCUAGUGUAGAGGUGAAAUUCGUAGAUAUUAGGAAGAACACCGGUGGCGAAGGCGGCCCACUGGAUCGGUACUGACGCUGAGACGCGAAAGCGUGGGGAGCGAACAGG
rnacentral:rRNA from 1 species